rnacentral:pre_miRNA from 1 species
GCUGGGAAGGCGGCAGUAGCCAAUGUCCCCUGUCUGCUGUUUGCCUUCUCCAGC